rnacentral:lncRNA from 1 species
CUUGUCGAUUUUAUGGGAACGCACUAAGGUUCAAUCGAGCCUUUGCCUAUUGGGGAUUUACAGGAAAGAGCAGCCCACAGAGUCCCACCUUUCUUUCGUUUGGUGCCUGUUUUCUCUUUUCUGUGAGUUGGGGUUAAGGGUUUGAAGGUGGAUGAUUGAUAACUUAAACCUAUAGUAGGGGUAUCAAUCUACAUCCUUAAUCAAGAAAGAAACAGAGGCACGAAAGUCGCAUUGUCAGAUGCCAUGACAUGUAUACUAUCUACUUUAACACCAUAGAAUAUGCAAAUUACUAUUUUGAGAAUCACAAUAUCACAGAUAUGAACUGAGUUGACA